AGCGAUUCACCUACCUCUGCCUCCCGAGUACUGGGAUUAAAGGCAUGCGCCACCAACGCCCAGUAAUGUCAAAGCUUUGAAUUAUGUAAAUGGAAACAUGAAGCAGAACCCCACAACUUGCUCAAUGUGCACUCUCACGUGGCAUUAUGCAUAGUCAAGUGAGGCUUUUUAUCUCCCUAUCUGCAUUUUUGUAAAGUGCAUAUCUCUGUGGUAUCUAGGCACUCAAGCAGUAAGUUAGUUUCUGCAUCUGGUUAAUAAACUCAGCAAACAAGAGUUUCUUCAGCAUCUGGUGUCUGCUUUCCUUUUGUGAGUUUCCAUGAUUAUCUAAUGCAUGGUGACCUUUGAUAAUUUCUGUGAUUGCUUAGAAUUUCAAUGGUGGUUCAUCUGACUUCUCUUAUACUGGGAAUUUUAAUCUGACAACCAGCUUCCUCAUGGUUAUUUACCUUACCCUGGAAUUCAUAGGAUUAACCACCCAAAUGUUAUUCAGUAUCUGGGUUUUACAUAUAUCCCAUAAUUAACUGGUACAAUGUUCCAAAAUAUAAUGGACUCAAACAAGAUGAUAUGAGGAUUAUGAAGAGGAGGGUUACAUUUUAGAAAUAUAUUUGGUAAGGAUUAUUUUUUCUCAUGUAUGUUACAGUACAGGAAGAUAAUAAAAAUGACGUAAAAUCUGUUUUGGGAGGCUCCUGGUGUUCUAGACCUCAGCACAUUACUCCAUUUUUUUCCUCUUUGUGCCUUCCUCAGCCACCUCUUUCCCACUCACCCCCUACCUCCUUUGAUUCUCACAUCCUGGUAUUAAUGUAGCUUGUGUUUCUCUUAGUAAAUGGAGAGUUUCCCAAAAGACAGACAUUAAUAACCUGGUAUGGAUUAAUUUUCCUUCCUCUUGACAGAGUAUAGGCAGAGAAUGGGUAGCACAUCAAAAACACUCAGAAGAUAUUUUUGUACACUCUGCUUGUCACAUUUAAAUGGUGAAAAAAAACCAAGACGCUAAUAAAUAGAAAUUCACCUGCCAGAUACCUUUCUUACCAUCUCUCACAAGUUACUUAUCUUCUGUUAUGUUGAUCUCACCCCUCUACAUUACAUUCCCAGAAACUCCCAGAUUAGAAAGUACUGCACCACAGGAAAACAUUUCUUAUGUUGAACCAAAGUUCUGUCUUUGUACACUGGCUCUGAUAGUAUAAACUGAGUAAUUGAAAAUGUGUCUUCUGCAGGUCAACACAAUAAAUGCAUGCAAGAUGUUACAUCUUUUGUUUAUAUUUUACAUGCUGCAUGUGUAUUUACAGUGCCAUUAACAACACAUUAGGCAGCCUGACUUGUAGCUGUUGUCCUCUUGUCUUAAAUACAGCAAUUGCAACUGAAUGCCAUACUGUGUUAGUCAAGGGCCUAGGUCAUACCCAAGCGGGUCAUGGCACAGCUUGAGCAGGACCUCAUAUGUUAUGGCUUGUGAUGAAUCUGUAAGUCUUUCCACUCUAUUUCUUGUGUUUGGUAAACAAGGUCAUUUAUGUUGUGCACACAUUUAUUGAGAAUAUAAUUAUCAUGAAUGUCCCUGGAAUUAGAUCUAACAUCUUCCUAGGCUGGCAGCAGAGCUCACAAAUAGCCCCAUAGUUCUUGGCAGAUUUGGGUAGAGUGCACUUCAUGAAGAAUGUUGUAGAGACUCUUGUCACAUGGAAUGCUUGCCCACCAAAUUACAAGGACAUAAGUCAGAGUUAAAAGAGAGGGACCUGGAUUUAUAUAUUUUAAACAACAUGUAUUUGGGCGUGUGUUCACUUUCAACAAAGGCUUUGGAGUGACUGUUAUAAUGAAAGUGGUAGUAGUGGUUAUGCAGGCAAGUAGUUGGGCAAUUGGGUGAGUCAUAACAGAAAAGAUAAAAUGUCUUCAGUCCUAAGGAAACAGUGACAUUCAGAUAUCAAUAAGGAUAAGUGACUAGUUUAUGACUCAGGGCCUUCUGUCAUUGUUUUAGUCUGCAAUUUGUUUCAUCAGGUUGGUGGUGGAAGUUUGUCAGAAACUGUCCACUCAGAUGUUAUCCAGGGGCGCACUACAACUCCAGAUAAAAGGGAAUUCUGGAAUUGUACAAAUAAUGUAAGAUAGUAUGGAUAGUGUAGACUCUAGAGGAAAAACAUCAUGGAAGAGAGUUUGUUAUAACUUAGAAACUUAUUCAGAAUUUAACUUCUCUUUAAACUUCAGGUUCAUCUUAUGUUUUCUGAUAUUCUCUAGCUUCAAGUACAUAGAAUAAUCCUGUAUUGAUAAGCAGCCUUGAUCCUGGUCAAGAAAAAAAUGUUCAUUUCUCUAAAGAUGAAAAUUGCAUUUGUAAUGUUCUUAACCACUGAGCCAUCUCUCCAGCCCUGAAAAUUACAUGUGUAAUUUUAAAAUUACAUCUGGUUGCUGGCAGAAUCCGCUGCUGAACACUAUAGCUUGGCCCUAGGCCCCAGGGGCUUGUUAUCAGACUUCACACAUGUAGUCUGUUAUAUUGCCCCUCAUUUAGACCUAGAGUUUCCAAAAGAAUGCAAUCAAUAUUCUUUUUUUGAUGUUCAUUUAGGGAAGAGUAUUCUCAUGUCAUAAGGAAAUUUUAGUCAUGAGCAUUGCAAGACUUUUAAGAAAAUCAUGUGUUUUCCUUCUUCAAAUGUGUGCAAGCUGUCCAGGCUUCUCCAGAUGCUCUGAUCAGCCUUACAUCCUAACAUUUGAACAACUCUUUUCAAUCUCAUCAAUUAAUUAAUAGGGUGAUCACUAAAUACAUGCAGACAUUUGUUGAGUACUUGCUAUUCAUCCUUGAUUGUUUAGGUACUUGCCUGGAUUUUGACCCAAAGAAGAAUUCACUAUGGCCUACUUGUUCAUUGCAUGUUUCCAGAAAUUUCAAGGGUUAACUUCAUAGUAGACUGGCAUUUAGAAAACUUCAACUGACUAAUUAUUUUAUUUAUUAAAAGAUUUCAAAGACAUUUCUGAUGACAAGUUGUGGUUUAUUGCUGUCUUUUGCCUGGCCUAUUAUAUUAGUGCUUAUUGUUGUUUUGCUUUAUUUGUCUUUAUAUUUUAUUUUUUAGAAACCUGCUAUUUGAUUAUUUUUAUAGAAAUAUUGAUUUUAUCAAUUCUUUGAGAACUUUAUACAUUGUAUUUUGAUCAUAUUCAUUCCUAUCCUGCAACUCCUCAGAGAUCCUGCUACAAUACCUACUCAGCCUUGUAUCUUUACUUUUAAAAACCCUUCAUUUUCAAUUUGUCCUGGCUGUAUAACCCUGUAUAUGGUCAUGAACUGGGGUCCCUUUUCGAUACCAGGUCCAUGCCCUUAAAGAAAACUAUCUUCUGACAAAUAUCCAUAGUCAGUAGCUUGCCAGCAGCUUGUAGGACCUCAUGACCUUCUCCUCUUUCUAUUCUAGAUUUUAUUUCUCUCGAACUUAAACAGGUCUUGUACAUGCCAUCACAAUUUUGAGCAUGCAGCUACUUUAUUUGUUUCAGGAAAACAGUAUUUCCUUGUAGUCAGUUACUAUCUCUGGCUCUUACAAUUUUUUUCACCUACUCUUCUACAAUGAUUCCUGAAUCUUGGGUGGAGGAGAGGUGAUAUAGAUGUCCCAUUUAGGACUGGACACUCCAUAGUCAGACAUUUUCUGUACUUUGAUGACUUGUGGGUCUGUGUUAAAUGCCAUCAACUGAAAAAAAAAAAAAGCAAGCUUCUCGGAUGAGGUCUGAGUGGUACACUAAUCUAUGGGUAUAAAGACACGUCAUUAGUAAUGGGUUUACUCUUAUGCCCCACUAGCAAAGUAACAGUAGUAGGUUCUCUCCUAGUGCCUAUGACUUGUCUAGCCCCAGAUUCUUAGCUCCAAUAAUGGCCCCAGGUUUGGAUUCCAUCUUGUGAAUUGGACCUUAAGUAUAAUCAGGAAGUAGUUUGUUACACUCACAAUUUUCAUGUCCCAUGUCACUGCGAAUAUCUUGCCACACAUACUAUUAUUGCAGCUCCCAGAGUUCACAGCUGGAUGCUAUUGAUUACUUUUCUCUUCUGAUAGUGUGCAUAGCAUCUUCCAGAGCUUUGGAAGCUAGCCAGUAGGGGUGAAGUUCUCAUUUCAACACCAGCUUGAUUCAUCUGUGUUCUGUGACUCCAGAAAAGUUCUGGAGUGUAAGGAAGAACAACAACUCAAGUCUGUAAUGUUGGAGGGGAGGGUUUGGUGGGACCUUGAUGGCCAAUAACUCUAGUCGAGGUAGCUCGUUUCCAGCACUAUGCUCUGGUUGCUAGUUGGAAACUCCUUUUAUGUUUGUAUUUUAGGAAACUUCUACAGUGGUAAUUUUUCAUACGAACUUUUCAGAAACUCCUUAGUGUUAUUUAUCACUCUCUGUGUUCAUUCUCUACUAGGUCCUCUAGCGUUCACACCAUUUAAUCCUUAAUCCUAUCCAUUAUUCCCCUUUAAUCUGUUACGGCACUGUCUUCCAUCUUUUCUGCCUUGCCACUGUUCCCCAGUGGUUCCUGGGUUUCUUUGCUACUGUGAGUUUUCACAAAUAUUUUGUUUUUGAGACAGUCUUUCUGUGAGGCCAAACUGAACCUGAAAGUCACUAUGUAAACCAGCCUAGCCUCAAACAUUUGAUGCUUGUCUUUUCACCUCUCAAAUUCUGAAAGUGCACCACUGCACUUUGGCUGUCUCCUAGCAUUUGAAGCCAACAUCACCUAGCAUUUACUUUUGACUUGAUAUGUUAUUUUCAGUAUGUAAUCAAACAACCUUUAUUCAGUCUUGAAAAAAGUGGCACAAUGCCUCUUAAAGUUAGUAAGACAAUUUUACUUAUCUAUUACUUUCUUCUUUUGCCACUUAUAAACAAAUAGAAAUAUAUGUUAAAGAAAAUUUAACAGCCCAUAUAAGUGAAAGUUGAAACCAUCUAUAACUUUGAAGUAGCACUAAGGUUGAAACAUGAUAAAACUUAAAGCAUUGAUGUCAUUUUCUAAUGCAGAUUUUAUUUGAUUAAAAAAACCCCACAAAGUUAUGCAACUAGACUCUUCUUAUAAUGGGUCUGUUCAAAACGUUAACUUAUAUUGAAAUAUGUGUCCUUCCUUUUAUCAAAUAAAGAAAGAUUUUUUUCAAAUCUCCAUGAACAACCAAAUAAUUUUUUUUUAAAAAUUUGGAAUAAAUACUGGGUUAAAUCUAGAGAUACAUCUGAAAUGUAACUCUUUAUGUUAAAUGAGUAAUGAUAAGAUUUUUUUUUGCACAAGCUUAUUACAUAAUCUCUGCUGUUUCAAUUAACUAGUUUUCAUAGUGGCUUACAUUUGAAUUUAGAAUGUGUACUACUUAAUGUGACAAAGUUGGUAGUCUCUUAAACUAUUGUUACCACUCAUUUUGUAAAGAAUUCCAGCUUUGCAUAACCAUUUAAAAUCUAUGAACACUAAUACAUUAGAUAUUUUGUUUAAGUAUUCUUAAGACUGUGGAACCAGAAGAUCAUUAUUGAAAUGGCAUCCUUAAACAUAAAAUCAGAUAUAGUUAUCUGUAUAAGUAGCACAUGAUAAAUAUUCAUUUUAUGUUUUUGUUUGUCUCUCCAUAUUUUUUAUUUGGUGAGUAUAUUUAGGAAUAUGAAAGGCAUCUAAGUGAUUAUAAAAUAGUAAUUUUACAAAAUGAAAUAUUUAAAAUAAGUAUAAUAAAUAUUUUCAUUGAAAUGAAUGAUUAUAUUCAAGUCUUUCAUUCCUUGUAUGUAUAUACAUUUGUAUUUUAAAGUUCUUGGCAGUCAUCUGAGAGAAAAUUAUUUCAUAUUUUCUGAGUGUUUAUCCUGCAUCCCAAGCAUUAUACAGAAUUCUACCAAGACAUCCCUUUUAAUCAUCACAGGAAUUCAUGUGGAGUUAUUAUAGCCUUCUUAGAACAGAAGUAAUUGAGGCACAAAAAACUAAAUAACUUAUUCAAUUUUCACAGCUGUCAGUGAAAGAUAAAUUAUUUGCUCAGGCCAGUUCAACACUUGAUGUUAUCCAAAUGGCCAAGAAACAAUGGCUAUAUCUAAAGACUGUUCUCUUUGCUUCUGUUUUGGGUGCACAAAAUAAAUGUGAUUCUUAAUUCUAAGCCAAAAGAAAACUUUUAAACUGAGCUGUAAAUAUCAGUGUAAAACAUGAUGAUAUUGUUAUUAUGCAAGUAUGUUUAAUUUGUGAGUAAACUCUAUAGAUUCAAAGUAGACUAAUUCAUAGUUAGCAUUGGCCAAACCAUUCAACCAUUUAAUUUUCUAUUAUUGUGUUAGGAAGAGUUUUUGUUUUCUCCAAAAUUAUUCUCCUUAUUCAAUAAGAACUUAGACAUCAGAAGACCCUUAAAGAAUUUUCUGCUAAUAAAAAUUAAUGUAUAUAUCCCCACAGACAAAAUAUGUUUUCUUUCUAGCAGUAAGCAGUGACUAUAUAAAACCAUAUUUUUUGUCACCUGGUAACUCCAUUUCAGUUAAGGUGGAUUAGUUUUUAAAAACUGUGGAGUUGUAGAUUUUAGAAAGGUCUAUGUACAAGGGACAAUUUAAUGAGACCCACUUUAAAUAUUUUUCCAUACUAAACUAAAAAAAUUUUGUGAUCUUUCCAAAUGAUGAAUUUGAAAACAUUCAAAUGGUUGACAUCUCUUUACAAUGAAAUUUAUUGGCUGUUGGUCUACUUUUCCCUCAUGCUGUGAAGUCACUACUAAGUCCCCUUGAACCCAAUGUAAAUUUUGUGGCUCCGGUAAAAUGAGGCCUUGUUUAGAAGCCUGCUUUUAAACUAUUAAACUCGGGGUUUCAUAAUUUCCUUUCUACACUGAACUUUUCCUAUAAUUCCAGAUAAAGAAAAAAUAGGAAUUUAAUUUCCGUACAAAUUUCUUUCCAGAGCCUCUGUCCAAAAUACCAAGUGCUGAAAUUUUAAAAGAAGUUCAGUGUAGCAUAUGCUAAUUUACACCUUUUCCUUGGUUUGUGUUCUGUUCUUCUUUUGUUUUAAUGGAUAAAUCAUAGAACAUUUAAAUGACCCACAUUCAGAGUGUGGCACAUUUUUGUUUUCCUGUUGCAAAUAUAAAUUAUCCAAUUGUUAUUUUAUUCAUUGUGUUUUGUGCAUAUCUAAAAUGAAACAAUUUUAAAUUGUGAAAAACAUGCAAUAACCAAUAUUCUGAUGAAGUAACAAGUAGCAAUCCCAUUUUUGAUGCUAUACAUGUUGAUAAAAAUGAUAAAUGAGGAAUAAUGUUAAAUUCCUAGCCAGGUGAUGAAACGAAGUCAAGUUUUUCUUUAUGCUUAAAAUCUGCUUUACAUAAAUAGUAAUGAGGUAAAUGUUAGAAGAACAUGUUUGGCUAGCUUUAAGGUAUUAGCAAGAAUUAGAUACAGAAAAGCAUCCAUAAGAAGAGAAAAUAGAGCUGGGCGUUGGUGGCAUAUGCCUUUAAUCCCACCACUCGGGACGCAGAGGCAGGCGGAUCUCUGUGAGUUAGAGGCCGGCCUGGUCUCCAGAGCGAGUGCCAGGACAGGGUCCAAAGCUACACAGAGGAACCCUGUCCCAAAAAACCAAAAAAAAAAAAAAAAAAGAAGAGAAAAUGGUAUUGGGAAUAGGCAGAUUUGUUAAUCAUUUAAACUAAAAAAAUAAAAUACAUGCUUGAAUAUUUCAAAUUACAUUCAUUGAAUAUUUGCUUAACUGAAAAUCAUAGUUUUUAUGGUAUUCAAUUCUAUUAUUAAUAUUAUUAUUAUAAAAUUAUAUGCUAGGUGACCAUUUCUAUAUAGACACAUUAUAAAUGAUAUCCUCAACUUGAGAUAUGGACUAUAACAUAAUGAGUAGGUAAUACAUGCAAGCAUAUAUGAUGUUCCAAACACUUUUUUUUCAGAUUCUUUUACACGUAUUUAGGUGGCUCCCAUUGAAUUUUUGCUUUCAUCACUUUUUAAAGCAUAAAAAUCAAAUAUUUAAAUAUAAUUUUGUUGAAAUAACUGUUCAAGCAUUCACAUUUUUAAACAAGUUUAUUUGGAAAAAAUCAUAUAUUCUCUAUAUAAAUUUUUAUGAGAUAUAUGAUGCAUAAUGAUUUUAUUCACAAUUUUAUUAUAUAUUUCAACCUCUUUAAAUUUUGGUGUGUGUGUGUGUGUGUGUGUGUGUGUGUGUGUGUGAUGUGUUUGCAUUUGGGUGAGAGAGAGAGAGGCAAGGGGCUUGAUUGUGUGAGUUAGAGAGCAAUUUGUGGACCAGUUCUCUCCUUCUGUUAUGUGGGUCUCCACUAUUAAGUUUAGCUCCUGUGGCUUGGAGGCAAGUGCCUAUGUUAGCUGAACUAUUAAUUUAAUUGCUCUUUGUUUUUCUUAAUGCUUGUCAUUGAAGAACAAAACUGUAAUUUUGUUUAAUCCCACUUAUUUUCAAAAUUUCUGCUUUCUUUGUAAUGUCAGAGUUCCAAAGAGUUCAAGGUCACAAAGAUGAAAUUUUAUUUGGUGCUGUGAGUGUUGUAGUUUUCACUCUCGUAUUUAGGCAGGAUCUGAGUUUUGGUUUCCUCUAGGAUACAGUUAGGAUUGAAAAAUGGAUUUGCUUGAUAGGAUGAGGAUAGUAGCUCAGUAAUAUGAAGGCAACAUUGAUCUUUAAUUAAAUUUUAAUCAAUCUACCAACAUAUUCUCUGCCCCUUUCCUUCCAUUUUAUAUAGUAGCUGGUGUACAAAUAAAACUAUGUAUAUGGGGACUUUUGAUGACUGAUUCUAUUUCCUUAGAGGUUAUAGGUCUGUUUA